UUUGUCGAAAAUAUGUAUAUAACAAAUUGAAACACUUUGUACAAAAUAUGCCGUUCGCAUCGCAAAGUGAAUAGGCGAGCCCUGUAUCUUUGAUCGCUGAUUUUUGGUCUGGCUGCUCAUGGAGAAGGGGUAAGAGUUCAUGCGUGAUUUGAUUAGAAGAGAGGGAGAGGUUGACAAAGCCGAUCGUCUUCGUUCUAUCUUCUCCGCCAAUAAAUGUUGCGGAAAAUUUUAUUCGGUUUCAAGUCGUGCGAUUUGUUUUGAGCAAUUUGUGCAGGCAGUGUUUUCGUCAAUAAGAAAGGAUGCUGCGGAUCUUUCGAUCGUCAUAGGGAUCGGCUCAGGAUAUGCCUUCAAAUACCGUUACUACAUUAACCUUCACGAAGACCAUGUUCCGGACAUAAAUGGGGACGACACUGGAGCAUUUCUUUGCCUGGUUCAGCUGGGCAAUAUGUACGUGAUGCAUUGCGCUCGUUCAUGUUUUUAUUGCACCUAACACUAUCGCACUGAGCGGUCGGGAUGGGCCUCCGGCUCGAAGGGAUCAUCGAGUACAAACACCAAAUGGUUGGCCCUUGUACACUUUUUCACCUUAUAUAAAGAACUUUGUAGUAAGGAAGCUCCUCACUCCUCUUCAAACCUCUGAAACGGUAUACAAUCGACACCAACAGGAGAUCGACUACACUGUGUGAACCAUCUUGUCCAGUGCAACCAGGCAACAAAACAUUCCUCUUCAGCAACAGCACCAUCAUAAUCCGUGCUAGAAGCAACUCCAACUUGUUGUCGGGAGACUAAAAGAUGCAAAAUUGAUUUAAAAAAAAAAGCAAACAAAUUUGUGUAGAAUGAUGAUUGAUCAAACUUACUGUUAAUGGAAGGCACUUUAUACACAGAAGGACGGCAGGAAGAACUGAACGGAAAAAGAACACCCAAUGCUGAUUGCUGACAAGCCGCCGGUAACGUAAUGACCAAUUUGGAAUCCGUGAUCGAGCAGAGUCAGUGUUUAAGGCCAAGCACGUCUCCGGCAUAUGAUAUGCAUUCUCCGAUACCCAUGGCCAGGUUCUCCUACGAGAUACAGCGUGGGCUCACCCGCUAACUGUAAAUGCACAAUCCGUUGAUAUCCUCCUCACCUCAUAGUUAUCGUGAUCCUUUUCCCGCUCCGUCUUCCGUGCCAACACCUCCCAACGUUCACCAUGGCGCUGCAGAACUAAAAGGCAAAAAACUAUAAGCCAGAUAUCUGGGAUAAAAGCAUAUAAUUAUAUUUACCUGAUUAGAUGCACUCAUCGACUUUGUAGAGCAAACAGAUUUUUGAAUCUGAAAAAUAAGAAAAGUUCAACCAAUACAAGCCAUUCCAGUGUCUAGUACGACUGUA